GACGUAGGGCGCGAGCGUUGUCCGGAAUCACUGGGCGUAAAGGGCGUCUAGGCGGUCCGGUAAGUGGAAUGUGAAAUCCCUCGGCUCACCCGAGGACCUGCAUCCCAAACUGCCGAGCUUGAGUAUGGGAGAGGAUGAGGGAAUUCCUGGUGUAGCGGUGAAAUGCGCAGAUAUCAGGAGGAACACCGGUGGCGAAGGCGGUGAUCUGGGCCGACACUGACGCUGUAGAGCGAAAGCGUGGGGAGCGAACAGG
rnacentral:rRNA from 1 species